rnacentral:lncRNA from 1 species
AUGGGCCAUAAUUCUAACAAGAGGGAGAUAGAGAGAGUUUUAGAGGGACAGAGAGAAUAAAAGAUGUUUGCAAUCACCUUACAAGAGAGAAAGAGAGUGAGAGUAAGAAUAAGAGGAGUUUAUAUCGAUGAGAAAAAGAUGAAGAGAGAGAAAGAGAUAAGAGGUGUUUGCAUCAGAGAGAGAGGGAGAACAGUUUCUAUCGAUGAGAUGUUUGCACCAUAAAGAAAGAGGGAGGGA